rnacentral:rRNA from 1 species
AUUGAACGCUGGCGGCAUGCCUUACACAUGCAAGUCGAACGGCAGCAUGGGUGCUUGCACCUGAUGGCGAGUGGCGAACGGGUGAGUAAUGCAUCGGAACGUACCCGGAAGUGGGGGAUAACGUAGCGAAAGUUACGCUAAUACCGCAUAUUCUGUGAGCAGGAAAGCGGGGGAUCGCAAGACCUCGCGCUUCCGGAGCGGCCGAUGUCGGAUUAGCUAGUUGGCGGGGUAAAGGCCCACCAAGGCAACGAUCCGUAGCGGGUCUGAGAGGAUGAUCCGCCACACUGGGACUGAGACACGGCCCAGACUCCUACGGGAGGCAGCAGUGGGGAAUUUUGGACAAUGGGGGCAACCCUGAUCCAGCCAUGCCGCGUGAGUGAAGAAGGCCUUCGGGUUGUAAACUACUUU